rnacentral:tRNA from 1 species
GGUGAAAUGGCCGAGUGGUUAAGGCGCUGUGUUCAGGUACAUUUGACUGGAACAAAUUCCGCAGUCCGAAAGGGCGUGGGUUCGAAUCCCACUUUCAUCA